UUCCGGUUGAUCCUGCCGGACCUGACUGCUAUUGGAGUAGGACUAAGUCACGCUAGUCAAAGGUGCAGAAUGGAGCACCUGGCGUACGGCUCAGUAACACGUAGUCAACCUACCCUAAGGACGAUGACAACCACGGGAAACUGUGGAUAAUCUUCGAUAGGAAAUUUGGCCUGGAACGGUAUCUUUCCUAAAACCGGCUCGCCGUGAGACACGGGCCUUAGGAUGGGGCUGCGGCCGAUUAUGCUUGAUGGCGGUGUAAAGGACCACCAUGGCGACGAUCGGUAUGGGCAAUGGAAGUUGGAGCCCAGAGUCGCUAACUGAGACAAGGUAGCGAGCCUUACGAGGCUUAGCGGUCGCGAAAACUCGCCAAUGCACGAAAGUGUGAGUGGGCUACUCCAAGUGUCAUUCUUACGGAUGACUGUCGCUCAGUAUUACAAGCUGAGAAAGGAAGGAGAGGGCAAGGCUGGUGCCAGCCGCCGCGGUAAAACCAGCUCUUCGAGUGGUCAGGACGAAUAUUGGGUCUAAAGCGCUCGUAGCCGGACAUGUAGGUUCCUGGUUAAAUCCGACAGCAUAACUGUCGACCUGCUGGGAAUACCGCAAGUCUUGGGAGCGGGAGAGGAUAGAGGUAGUCAUAGGGCAGGGGUGAAAUCCAGUGAUCCUAUGGCGACCACCGAUGGCGAAGGCAUCUAUCUGGAACGUCUCCGACGGUGUGGGGCGAAAGCUAGGGGAGCGACCCGGAUUAGAUACCCGGUUAGUCCUAGCCGUAAACGAUGCCGACUAGGUGUUGCGACGGCCAAGAGCCGUUGCGGUGCCACAGCGAAGGCGUUAAGUCGGCCACCUGGGGAGUACGGUCGCAAGACUGAAACUUAAAGGAAUUGACGGGGGCGCACCACCAGGAGUGAAGCCUGCGGUUUAAUUGGAUUCAACGCCGGGAAUCACUAGUGCGGCCG
rnacentral:rRNA from 1 species